rnacentral:rRNA from 1 species
CCGCGUGUGUGAUGAAGGCCUUAGGGUUGUAAAGCACUUUUGUCAGGGAAGAUAAUGACGGUACCUGAAGAAUAAGCACCGGCUAACUUCGUGC